rnacentral:rRNA from 1 species
CCCAGACUCCUACGGGAGGCAGCAGUGGGGGAUAUUGCACAAUGGGGGGAACCCUGAUGCAGCGGCGCCGCGUGGGUGAAGGAGCGUUUCGGCGCGUAAAGCCCUAUCGGCAGGGAAGAAGGAGGACGGUACCUGACUAAGAAGCCCCGGCUAACUACGUGCCAGCAGCCGCGGUAAUACGUAGGGGGCAAGCGUUAUCCGGAUUUACUGGGUGUAAAGGGGGCGCAGACGGCAGCGCAAGCCAGGAGUGAAAGCCCGGGGCCCAACCCCGGGACUGCUCUUGGAACUGCGCGGCUGGAGUGCAGGAGGGGCAGGCGGAAUUCCUGGUGUAGCGGUGAAAUGCGUAGAUAUCAGGAGGAACACCGGUGGCGAAGGCGGCCUGCUGGACUGCGACUGACGUUGAGGCCCGAAAGCGUGGGGAGCAAACAGGAUUAGAUACCCCAGUAU